UCACAUGUUGAAAUUGAAUCCCCAGUGUGA
rnacentral:piRNA from 1 species